CGCUAAGGCGUUGAAGCAGUGUAUGUCAGACUUCCAAGAAAAGCUCGCAAUGUCAUAAAUAAAAAGUGCCUGUACCAUAACCGACACAGGUGGGUAGGUAGAGUAUACUAAGGGGCGCGAGAUAACUCUCUCUAAGGAACUCGGCAAAAUGACUCCGUAACUUCGGGAGAAGGAGUGCCUUAUUUAUAAGGUUGCAAUAACAAGAUCCAAGCAACUGUUUAUCAAAAACACAGGUCUCCGCUAAGUCGUAAGACGAUGUAUGGGGGCUGACGCCUGCCCAGUGCCAGAAGGUUAAAGAAGUUGGUUAGUGUAUGCGAAGCUGAUGACUGAAGCCCUGGUGAACGGCGGCCGUAACUAUAACGGUCCUAAGGUAGCGAAAUUCCUUGUCGGGUAAGUUCCGACCCGCACGAAAGGCGUAAUGAUUUGGAUACUGUCUCGGAGAGAGGCUCGGUGGAAUAGACUUGUCUGUGAAGAUGCGGACUACCUGCACCAGGACAGAAAGACCCUAUGAAGCUUUACUGUAACUUGAAAUUGGAAUUGGACUUUGCUUGCGCAGUAUAGGUGGGAAGCGUUGAAGAUAUUCUUGCGGGAGUAUUGGAGCUAUCAGUGAGAUACCACUCUUGUAAUGUUAGAUUUCUAACUUUGAACCAUAAUCUGGUCAAAGAACAGUUUCAGGUGGGCAGUUUGACUGGGGCGGUCGCCUCCCAAAUGGUAACGGAGGCGUACAAAGGUUUCCUCUGAACGGAUAGAAAUCGUAUCUAGAGUGUAAAGGCAUAAGGAAGCUUGACUGUGAGACCUACAAGUCGAGCAGGGACGAAAGUCGGUCUUAGUGAUCUGACGGUACUGAGUGGAAAGGCCGUCACUCAACGGAUAAAAGUUACUCUAGGAUAACAGGCUGAUCUCCCCCAAGAGUUCACAUCGACGGGGAGGUUUGGCACCUCGAUGUCGGCUCAUCGCAUCCUGGGGCGGUAGUACGUCCCAAGGGUUGGGCUGUUCGCCCAUGAAAGCGGUACGCGAGCUGGGUUCAGAACGUCGUGAGACAGUUCGGUCCAUAUCCGGUGUAGGCGCUAGAAUAUUGAGAGGAGCCUUCUUUAGUACGAGAGGACCGAGAAGGACACACCGCUGGUGUACCAGUUAUCGUGCCAACGGUAAACGCUGGGUAGCUAUGUGUGGAGUGGAUAACCGCUGAAAGCAUCUAAGUGGGAAGCCCACCUCAAGAUGAG
rnacentral:rRNA from 1 species